GUAAAUAUAGUUUAAACAAAACAUUAGAUUGUGAAUCUAACAAUAGAAGAUUGAACCCUCUUAUUUACC
rnacentral:tRNA from 2 species